rnacentral:misc_RNA from 1 species
AACGCACAUUGCGCCCGCCAGCAUUCUGGCGGGCAUGCCUGUUCGAGCGUCAUUUCAACCCUCGAGCCCCCCGGGGCUUGGUGUUGGGGGACGGCGGGGCCGACGAUACCGUCGCCCGCCGCCCCCGAAAUGAAUUGGCGGCCUCGACGCGGCCUCUCCUGCGUAGUAGCACAGUUUAUCUCGCAUCGGGAGCGCGUCGCGGCCACGCCGUAAAACGCCCAACUUCUUAGAGUUGACCUCGGAUCAGGUAGGAAUACCCGCUGAACUUAA